AGAAAGAAUUUACCUUUCAAUUAAAGUCAUUAGCCCACCCUUCACCCUCCUAUUCCUUUUUUACAGGAACUCUGGCUAACAGAUGUGAAUUUCCCCUUCUGGCCAGGAACCAGGCAGAAAAUGAAAGCCGCAACUGUUCCUCAGUCUAAGUUUGGCUGUCUUCAAACCUUACUAAUAACUGCAAGGAAAUAUUCUUCUAUGAGCAGGAUUUGGGGGAAAGGAAACUAGAUGGAUAAAUUGAUGAUGAUGAUGAAGUGGACUCAAAGGUGUCAAGUCUUAUGAUGGAGAGGUGGGGGUCUGGAGGACAAGGACUGACUUUCGUGAUGAAUCGGAAUGGAAACUGAAGUGUCGAGGUCCAGAGUAGAGGUAAGACACUCCCAUCUGAAAUAGAGCUAUAUUGUAAAUUCUCAGUGGAGGGAAGGGUACUGGAUAUGCAGGCUUGGAAUUGCCCAAGGAAUCUCCAGAGUCAUAUAUUCCUACUGCUAGUUUACCUUUCC
rnacentral:lncRNA from 1 species